UGGAAGAAGCUUCCAACUUUCAGCUAAUGCAUGGUAGGCAUUUCUAGUCCCGUUUUUAAUUAUUUUUAUAUUUUCGGGAUCGUUGUUGCUUAAUCUAUCUAAUGAGGGGACUAUUUUGCAAAAACAUUGAAUAGUUUGAUAUUUUCCAUUGAUGAAUAUAAUAGGGCUUUGAAGUUUAAUGGAAGAAUAUGAGUCCUUGUUGAUAGUUAAACACUUUUUGUUAAGUGAAUUUUUGUGAAAUUGACAAUUAAGGGCUAAAUUGAUAAAUGUGAAAAAUUUGUGGUUAAAAUGUCAAAUAAAUGAAAUGUGUGGGCUGCUAGAGACACUAAUGAUAUUCGUCUAUAGUAGAAUUUUACUCAAUUUCAUGAAUUUGCAUUUUUAUGAUAUAGGGACUAAAUUGUAAAGAAGUUGAAAUAUUAGGGGCAAAACUAUAAUCUUGCCAUAAAGUGAAUUAUGGACUGUUUUGAUACCAUGAACAUUUGGCUAAGCUUAAUUAUGGUUAAAAAUGGUUAAUUUGCAUGUUUUGAGCUCAAGGACUAAAAUGAAUAAAAGUAAAACUUUAGGGGUAAUUUUGUAAAAAUGAAAAAAAUGACCAAAUUGUAUGAAAUGAGGUGUUUUAAUGUCUAAAUUAAUAUACUAAAUGAAAUUAUUAAUUUAGAUCAAGAUCGGGUGGAAAAUCGAGAAAAAUGAGAAAAUUACCAAAAUGCCCUGAACUUUGGUAUCUCUACAAUUUAGCCAGGUAAGUUCGUAUGCAAUAAGCAUUGUUAAAUUGAUGUUUCUAAUGCUUUAAUAUUGUAUAAAUUGUAUAUACGUGAAUAUUUUAAUGUCUGACGACAUAUCGACAAAAUGUGGCACUUAGUGCGGGGCAAUCAAAUAUGGUACUCAGUGUACGAAAUAUUGAGAAUGGCACUUAGUGUGCGAGAUAUUAAGAAUGACACUUAGUGUGCAAAAUAUCGAAUGAUUCAAAGGGAAAUUAUAAAUUGUGAUUGAAUGAUUAAAUAGUGCAAAGUGAACAGGUAUACAUGCUAUAUUAUAUGAAUUGUUUAUGAGACGACUUUAUAAUGGUGAUAUUUGGGCUUUGAGCCUAGCAAGCUUUAAGCUGGUGAAUAAUAUUAUCGGCUUUAAAACCUAGCAGGCUAAAUGCCGGUGAUUUGAUAAAAGUCUAAGACUAUGAGACCUUGUGUUAAAUCGGCAAUUGAAUUUGUUCAAUGCAUUAAGUUGGCCAGGUAUGUGAUAUAUUCUUAUGCAUGUUAGAUCGAUUGGAAUUGAAUCAUGAAUGUGAAAUGAGAAGCAUAGGUGAAAAUGCCUAUGUCAUAUAUGUGAGUAAGGGCAAAACCAUCGUAAAUUAUCGAUAAGGGUGAACUAUGUGCGGAAUCAUCUUAUAAUUGCUAAUUUGAACGGUUGUGUGCGAAUCAUUGAGCAUGAUGUAUUGUAUUGAGAUUAUGCUUGAGUGAAAUUAUAGAUAUGUGAUGAAAUUGAUUGGUGAUAUACAUGUUUAAAUAAUGUGAAUGCAAAGAAUGUGUGAAAGAGUAAAUUUGUAAUAAAUCUGCUUGGAACAGCAGCAGUAAUGUGAUUUUGGAAAAUCACCAUAAAUUGUUGGAGUUGAGUUAGAAGCUGAAUAAAUUAUUUAAUUAAAGCUUAAUGAGUCUAGUUUCUAAUACAAGAAACCGUGUAAGCAAAAGAAUUGCUGAUAAUGAGAUAUUUGAAGUGGCGUGGGAUAGAGUCAAAUGACUUCAGGGUCCCCUGUUCUAUUUUUAGAAAAUCAUUAUAAUUUGUACAAAAAUGGUUAUAAGAUAAAAUUUAUAUUCUUAGACUCCUUAAUGAGUCUAGUUUCAAAUGAAAUCAAAUAGAACAUAUUUUGAAUUCUGUACAAUGAGAAAUUUGAUUCGUAGUGAAGAGUGGUCAGAUUAGUCAAACAGUGAAAUAGGGGAAACUUUAAGAAAAAUCUGGUAUUGAUUGGCCAAACCUAAAAUUCUGAAAAUUUUAUGGAUGGAAGAUAUAUGAGUCUAUUUUCAGGGAAAAUUAACGGAAAUUGAUUUGGAGUUUUGUAACUCCAUCUAUAAAUAAUUUAGUGACUAUUGCUCAGGAAGACAACUUGUUGUGAAUUUGUGAUUAUGUUUUAAACAUCGAUAAAACUUGUUAAUGAGUUUCUUAUUGUUUUCUUAUGAACUUACUAAGCGUAAAGCUAACUCCCCUUUUCUUUCCCAUAUUCCCUAGGGUUGCCAGGUUAGCUCGGGUUGGAGGCCGUCAGAGAUAUUAUCACAUUGUCAAGUCUACGCUAUCGGCGUAAGUAAAUCUUAGUGUUUCGAGUCUAUGACAUGUAUAGGGUUGUAAAGUUGAGUAAGUAAAUGAUAUAAGACUAAGAUAUUGGUAAAUAUUUAAUAAUGCCUCAUGAAUAUUUUGGACCUUGUAAGCCCGAGUAAAGGAUAAUAUACGUGUGUAUGAAAAGUUUAAA
rnacentral:lncRNA from 1 species